AUCUAUUGUUCCUCAGAGGCCCAUUCUCCUGGCUAUAAUAUUGCUGAAAGCAGAACAAACACAAUUAUUUCUGGACACGAAAGAGCCUUUCCUUUCUCUCUGGCUCUGUAGCACACCAGGAGCCCCCCGUUCUUCUCCCAGCUGUGGGAUCGCAGGGUCUGAUGAAGCAAGAGGCCUUAGCCUGCUUGGUCAAGCUUCCCUCUCCUGGGCUUGGAACUGAGAUUUCGCAAGAAGUAGAGUAUUUGGAGAAACCUGGGGUGCUGCAGGUGGGCUGUGUCUCAGCAGAACUUCGGGACCUGCCGCUUGGACCGCAGGGUUCCUGGCUGUGACACCAGACCCCGAUGGGACUUCCCUGCCCUUGGUACGAGCACUUCCAGAGACGAUGUUCUGCACUGCUAGGGCACUGCUGCUCUUGUCUGGUUUCAUGAAGAAACAGAGAUAGAGGCUAAAUGAAUCCUGCUAAAGCCUCUGCGUUCGGGGCGAAGUCUGCAAGAUUCAACUUUCCCAAGGAGUGGUAAGGACAGAAAGAGCUGCAUGCAGCUGAAGAUAUCCAUGAUUUGUGCAAGCAGGCACUCAUCUGAGCACUGCAUCCAGGAGCACAGUUUGCACUUUGCCCCUGUGUCCCAGCUUUUGCAGGCUUUGUCUGUGUGAGCCCCACUCAGGAACUGCUGGAAGGAAUUCAAGGACAGAGGCAGAAAGGUCUGCUCCUGGCACUAGGAUCCACUAGCUCGUCCUGUAAGAAUGUGUUGCUUGGACACGAAGAGAUGCUAUUGAUCUGAUGACAGAGGUUGCAGAUGAAGGAGAAAAAGCUGGAAUUAAGCUGACAGCACUCACUGUAAGAUUUUGCCCAUUUCGGAGGACGGAAGAGGAAGGAGAUUUGUAAUCCAAAAGCCUUCAAUUUCACAUUCUAAUGAAAAUGGAGAACUUCAGAUUUCAAAUUUCGUGUAUCCUUUUCUUGAAAUCUGCCAAAAAUAUUUAGACACUCGGUGACCAAAUGAAGCAUUUUGAUUUUGAGUAAUAUGUUUCAUACAAAGUCAUAUUAUUGUUUUUCUCAUUUUGGUAAAAAGUAUUUUAAAAUUCUUGGGGGAACCAGAACUGUUUCUUAUCUAGCUCACUAUGAGACUCCAGAGGAAAGAUCUUAUUUGCUUAGAUUGUAAACCCAAUAUGCACCAGCAGAGAGAGGCAAGUAGGAAGAAAGGUUGGUUGGUUUGUUUUUGCCCAAAUGCUGAUCUUUGGGACCACUGUGCAAAAAUUGUGACAUUCUUCCAUGGUUCAUCAUCAUGAGGCUUGGUUCCUCACAGCUGGACAAACCACAGAAUCACACUGGUUGUCCUUACUUACAUAGCAAGCAAGGGAAAAAUAUCUAUGGGCAUUUUUUCCUCCUUUUUAAAUACAAAUUAUUAAUUCAAAGAGAGUGGUAUAAUUGUUUCCUGAUAUUAGGUAUUUUUAGGUGUACUCUCACCUAAAUGCUAGCUAGCAGGCCUCUUUCUGUUGCACUUCUGAAAUAAAAACAAUUUUCAAUAGAAUUGUGUUUGUUGAAUUCUGUUUAAACUAAAUAGUAGAGUUUAUGUGGAAAAUAAGGUAGGAAAUUGCAUAUGUGACUUAGUGAUUUAAAAUUCUGUCUAUCUUAGAGAAAUAUCACCAGAUUAAACCAUGGCUGUAAUUAAAUAUAAUUCAUAACACAGAUAAGAGAAUGGUUUUACUUGUAAUGAAAAAAAGAACUUUUCAUAUUCUAUUAAACUUGGGUUUCAAAAGAGCAAGUAACAUACACAUACAAUGAAAGACCCAAAUCUGCAACAGAAUAAGUCAUAUGUCUGUAUAUUCUAUUACCGCAAGGUAUGAUACGUAAAAGAUAGUAAGAUCUUCAAGUCUUGCAUAAAGUCAUAAGAAAAGGUGGACGUUGCUUUCAGCUUAGCCCCUGAAACAAAAUUAGGACAAUUUGGGUGAUUGGUUAGCCCAGAUUCAGAAAGGUGCCUAAUUCUUGGCCCAAACCAUUGAGCUCUUCUGGUUUGGGACAUCUGUAGAAGACAAUCAGAUUCCUCAGUAGUUAUGGUUCCCAUCAAGAAAACCUGUUCUACUCCAUUCCACCUCUCUGCCUUUCAGUGUGUGUUGCCUGUAGCUGGUUACCAAGCCUCAUAGCAUGGUUUCAUCAGCAUGCUGCUGAUAUGCAGCUCUACACUAUCAGUUGAUAUGACACUAACCUCCCAGAUACUGUGACCUUAUGCCUAGACAUCAGGCAUCUUUUGGUGGCUGAAACUCAGAUUAAGAUGGUGACAAUGCUGGGAGCUGGGGAAACUGCUUUACGUUUGCAGCUAUGAAUGAGAACAAACUGGAUUAGGGGCAGCGCUGUAGAAAGGAGGAUUGGUUGCAAUGAUGGCAGUGAACUGGAGGUUUGCUGCCUUUAAUCUUUCCAGUUCUGUGCAGUUACUUUGCAUGUCUGUGAUCUCCCAUCGUGGUAUCGGGUUUGCAGUGAGUCUGGGUGCUGGCAGAGAGCAGGUAUGGAGCUGUGUUAAACAUUUACUAUGGAGUAAUAAGGGAGGGCUAGUGACCUUUUUACCAUCUUAAUAUGGUCAGCCAUUACUGAGGAAAGUGGGCGGAACUUCAGUAUUCUCCAUUGGAAUUGCUUGGCAACUGUAAAAGAGGACAGCAGCUGGAACGUUGGUAGUUUUGGAGCUUCUGCAAGCUGAGCUGUGAUGAUCUAGUGAUUCCCUCUGGUCUUCAGAAAGUGCUCACUCAUCUUUGAGGCAAUAAACCCAACUCCAGAAUCUGAUAAAUCUAGUUGCAAACCCUUAAAUCUGAUAAUCUACCUUGGUUGAUAAUCCCAAGUGCUGGAAAGGAGACAAGACUACCGUCUGUCGGCUGCAUUUGUAGGGUGGCAUGUGCUACAGAGCCUCCCUUCUACCCUGCAAAGCUUCACUCUGGCAUGUGUGUGUGGCCUAGGAACAUCUGAACAUACCAUUGGACUUAGUGACUUCAGCAUCCCGUACCAACCCAGUGCCUUACUGCUCCCAUUAUAGCACUGGUAUAGCAUCACAGGGACCAGAGACCCAGCUCCUGUAACACUGGACUUUCCAUCUACCUCUGUAAGAGCUGUUCCUAAGAAAUUAUGCUUAAUUAAACAAGAUAAAGAGGGCAAGAGAAGCAGAGGGAUUGAAACUAGGGCUGCGGAGCUGGGAGUUGCUGUUGCUCUUGUUUAUGCGGAGUCUCUCCGUAGGGGGUGUUCUUCAGUUUGUCUCAGCAUUCCGAGAGUCCUUUAAGUGAGAGGCUGUGGUUUACAGAGUCAACAGAUUUAAGCAGGCUACGAAUAUUAAUUAUUAAUUGCUCUUGGAGAGCACUAUACAUUAGAUUGGUGAAGUAGUUAACAGCUUCGCCUUCUCCUCCCCACAGACGUGCUCUUGCUGUCAGAUUCCUCUCCCAAGCUAAGACCCUGGUGCUAGAAUUAGGCCAGAAGCUAUUUUCCAGUUGAGUGGCUUUUAAUGGGCUCUCCAGAAUUCUUCUUUGCAUCCUGUGAGUGACAAGAUAUGUGGAGAGGAGAGAUGGUGGGAUUGAUUCGUACCGUAAGAAGUAUGAGAGAUUUAACUAAGUGGGGCUCAGUGCUGCAGGAAGCCCUGUGGCAGAUGUGUCUUGUACUCCAGAAGCACCCGUUAAUUAUCCACAGCACGGGGCAGUGCUCUGGAGAAGCCCAUUUGUGGGGAUCCACAGGGAAGCCGCCUCUCUGCUGAAAGGCAAGGCUGUGGUCUUUUGGGAUCUUCUCCAUCAGGGGCCCUGAACAGCCUGAUCUGGUGGUUGGCAGCCCUGCCCGUGGAAGUUGUGUUGAAACUAGAUGGUCCUUAAGGUUCCUUCCAACCCAAGCCAUUCUGUGAUUCUAUGACCUUGGAUGGUGUUCUGGGGCUCUGCACAUGGCUGGGAAUUCCUUGACCUCCUCAACUCUGGCAGAAUGAAUUAAGUGUAAUGAACAUGAUGGUUUGGAGAUAGUUGUGUGUUUCAUAGAAUCCUCAGAGUUGGAAGGGACCUCUGCAGGCCAUCUAGUCCAUCUGCUUUCAUCUCCCUGCAGAUGUUGAGGAGGCGUCGUGGUGUGUCCCUUACAUCUUUUAAAGCCAAUUCUCCCUUCCUUUCUGCAUCUCUUCUCCAGCCAGACAUUGCAGAACAGUGUCUUGCAUGAAGCCAGAGGCCAGGCUCUAUGGGCUGGAGCCUCUUGAGGAGUCCUCCAAAUGAAGGACAAGCUCUGAGCCACGAGGGAGAUCCAGCUCUCACUGAACUAACCGGGUUCCUCCACCUCCUGAGCCACCCAGAACUGGCUGUUCAAAUUGAACCUCUCCAUCUCAACAUCACAUCACUGAUCUUUUAGGGAGCUUACUUCAUUUGACCAGCUCUGACAUCCUCAGGGGGAAACUUUCUUCUACAAAAUGGUGAAAGAGUGCCCAUCUGGAAAGAUUCUGUCUGUGCAUGCGCCUGGAGCCCGGCAUUGUUGCAGAGUAGGACAGUGGCAUAGGAUGGCUCCAAAGAAAAGAGAUCUGCAUCAGAAAGAAAACCUCCUGCCAUAUCAUCUCGCCCAGACCUUCCAGUGAGGCAACCUUUCCCAGCUCAGUUGAGGACUGCUUCCUGUGGACUGGAAGUAUUGCCAAAGACCAUCACCUCUUCAGCGAGUCCUUGCCCCUGGAACUGAGGAGCAGCCAAGUCCCGGGCUGGAGAUGUAUCUCGGCUUUCCGGACUGACCUGGACCAGAGCAAGACAAGAUAAUAGCCAGCUUCACACAAGGGUAGUGAGGUUGGACCUACACUGUGUUCUCCUGCCAUGGCCCUGAGACACCCUGGAUUGGUUCAGCCUCCCACCGGCUGAGAUGCUGCAAAUGCUGAGCUUUACCAGGACCAGCCCAUUCCCUUCUCCAACACUAAUGCCUGGCUGGGGAUCAGCCCAAUGCGAGGAUCAUCCAUUGCCCUGGAGGGCUCAUGUUCCAUGCAGUAAAGCAGCUGGGAAGGACUUCAGAGUCACGCUUGGUUGUUCUCAUUUUCCAAGGGAUCCGUGAACAGAGCCCCUGGCAGAGGCUGAUGAUUGGGUUUUGCCAAUGGGGAGAUAGAUAUUAUGAAAAAAGAAAAAAAUGCUUUCCCAGGAUAGCUGCAAUUGAAAUGCGGAAUAAUUAUAUUGCCUGACAUCGCACGGAGAAAGAACAUGGAGCACGCAGCAGUGAUCAGUAAAAAUUAAACGCUUUGCAGGUGGAGUACACCUGAGUUUUCUGCAGUUCAGAUAUGUACUCAGACUUUUUUGAACCUUUUGGGGCCUAAUUAAAUUCAAGGGUAUUUAAGCAAAAUCUGCAUGGAAGAUAAUACUUUUCUUUCUAAUAAGAAACUGCCUAAUAAAACAGAUUAUGUGUAAAAUAGAAAUAUGGGCCCUGCAACAGGAAAGUGAAAAGACACUAAUGAGAAGUGUCUGACUGUUAAUGAAUUGUAUUAGCAUGCCAUUACCUGCAAAUAUUACAAAUAGAGCGACCGGCUUUACAUUCCCUUCUCUCUCAAGAACUUUAUGUGAUUUCUGGGAGUGGCUUGAUGGGUUUCUGGGAGCUGUGUUCAUCCUUCAAGCCUACAGUGGAGGUGGAGUUUCAGAACCAACAUCCAGACCUCCCAGUCUCCAGGGGCUGUUCCACUGGCUGCUGCAGACCCAGGUGGGUUAGGAGAUGUCUUCCCAUUGUCCAAGGAAGAGCCAUGUUCUUAAUGUGGCUGGCUCUUUGGCUCCUGCACCCUCAAAUAAUAGUGUCUCAUAAAUCACUGCUGACUGUUGGGAUCGCUUCGGCCGCUCUUCCCCGUCAUCCUGUCCGCAGGAAUGAGCUGCAUGUUUCCACGUGGAUUGGGUCUGAAUUGGCUGUCUGAACCCAGAGACUAAAGAAACAGCAACCUCUCUCUCUCCUGCAACUCGUUUGUUUCACAAAGGCAAGAAACGUAUUGCUUAAUAAAGUGCAGCUUUAUAACGGACUGACUAAUUCAGUGUGCACCUUGCUAGGCCUGAUGAACCUCUGAGCAUCCUCAGGAAUCCAAAGAGAACAGUCAUUCUGUCUGUAUCCAAGGCAGGUCACCACUAGGCAGGCUAUGACCCUGUUCCUCUGCUGGUCCCAAGGGCAGGAAAGCAGCAGAAGGCACUGCUCUUGACCAUGAGCAUCCCACAAGCGCUCCAGCUGCUCCCGCCGAGUCUGGGCUAUUUACAAGGUACCCAUGGGGCUGCCCUUGCCCUGAAAAGUGCAGGGAUGGAGAGCAGGAAGGAAGAAGGAUGGAUCCUGAAUUGAGGUGAAUUUAUGGGGCUCCACGAUUCCUGCUGCCGUAUGUCUCCGAGAAAUGACACCGCCACUUCAGGAGCAGAGAUUAAUCUGAGCUGGCAGGAGAAGGACAAAACAAAUCAUCUACUGCAGGAAUCUCAUUUGAUGCCUGUUAGUAAAAGCACCGGGAUGAAUGGCUUUUGUAAAGACCGCGCCGCAGCAGGCUUUUUCCCCCUUUUCUCCAUUCUUCUGCAAAUUGAGGUCUAUGAGGUGUGUGGUGGAGGCAGUCCCGGGGUCGUUCAUGGCCCAGGCACAGGACAAGGAGUCCCAGCAGCUUUGUGCACUGUGAGACAGGACAGCAAUGAAAAGAGGGCAGAGCUCCCAGCGCAUCAUCUUUGUAUAUCCAAAGAAGCAAUCCUUCAGGUUUUUUCUUUUUUAAAAAGGUCAUUAAUUCUCAUGUCCUGCAGAACACAGGGUCAAGGCAGCCUGCAGCUCCAGACAGAACAUCCCAGUGAUGCUCUGCAUCCCAGCCAGCAGCAGCUGGAUGAGGCCCAGCGGGAGCAGUACCAGCACUGAGCACUCCACCCACACGCCGCCACAUGUCUCAGCUCGAUACAGAAUCAAUCUGAUUGAUCUUUUUUUAAGGUGCAACCUCCGAAUGGCUGAGACUGUGCGAGACGCAGCAAAGCAUGCACUUCCACAAAAUAAUUUGUCAGGCCCUGCUGUAGAAACCUAAUGAUGGCUGUAAUUUAUUGCUGACAGAUGAUAUUUAUCACCGCAGCAUCCCCUCUUUCUCUUUCUCUGUCUCAUUAGGAAUGGCAUCAAUAAUGUUUAUUGUAGCUUUUAAUUUUUUAUUGCUGGUAUUCUUACCUGCGCUGCUGAUGGCUACAGGAGAUGGGAAAGGCGUCAGAGCAGACGGAGGCUCAGCUCUGUGCUGAAAGGUGAGAGAUGAAGCCUGGAAGUUCCUCUUGCAUGCCCAUGCAGGGAGAGUGCAGUGCCAGAGCGCACCCCGAUAGCUGGAAAAAGCGAGCUGUUCCCCCACAGCUCACCCCCUCCCCACUGAGCCUUUGGGCCUGCGCAAGGGAUGCUCAGACCCAGCAAAGCAGUGGGGUUGCUCUGGUUUUCCCCAGACGCUGAUCCCACAUGGGUUGGAGAAGGAACAUCAUCCCUCUGCUGCUGCACCUGCGCUGCUGCCAUCAUCUCACAACUGACGAGGCCAACAGGCCCCCCGGGUCAUAAGGCUUGUCCCUAAAAAUAACCAAAACCCCAACUCCGAUCUUGAAAUCUCCCUUUUUUUUCCCUCAUUUUCCUGCAAUUUUUCUUACCCUUGAGGAAACGUGCUGCACUAGGUUUUGAUGCCCUAUAAACCAGAGCUUCCCAGAGGGGAUUUUUUCCCCCUUUCCAGAUGUGAAUAAUUACCCAGGCAGUGGCAGUUCCAGCAUCGUUACAGGAGCCUCUCAGACUAGCUGGUCAUUUACAGAUUAGAUAGAUGUUGCCCACGUUGUUCAUAACUGAUUAUGGGAUUGGCAGUUUGGCUCUCACCCAAAAUUCUGAGUCCUGAUUUAGCAUAAUUGGAAGUGAAUGGUGGAGCAGGCUGGGGGAAGGGGAUGGUGCCUGCUGCCGAUUUCCUAAUGCCAGCUUUGGGGAUCCCUGGCAAGCUGCGGAGCGCUCUUUAUAGGGCAAUAACAUUUAUGGCGUGGGUUGUCUGGGGGAGGAACUCCUGUGAUGGCAGAGGCCACCUCCCACACAGCCCAGAUCGAAUCUGGAGAAAUCAAGAAUUCUGGAAGAGCAAUGAGGAUGAUAUUAAAAAGUAAUCUUCCUAUG